UACGUAGGGGGCAAGCGUUGUCCGGAAUCAUUGGGCGUAAAGAGCGUGUAGGCGGCCCGGUAAGUCCGCUGUGAAAGUUCAGGGCUCAACCCUGAAAUGCCGGUGGAAACUGUCGGGCUAGAGUCCGGAAGAGGCGAGUGGAAUUCCUGGUGUAGCGGUGAAAUGCGCAGAUAUCAGGAGGAACACCAAUGGCGAAGGCAGCUCGCUGGGACGGUACUGACGCUGAGACGCGAAAGCGUGGGGAGCAAACAGG
rnacentral:rRNA from 1 species